GAUGAACGCUGGCGGCGUGCCUAAUACAUGCAAGUCGAGCGAGCAGACGAGGAGCUUGCUCCUCUGACGUUAGCGGCGGACGGGUGAGUAACACGUGGAUAACCUACCUAUAAGACUGGGAUAACUUCGGGAAACCGGAGCUAGUACCGGAUAAUAUAUUGAACCGCAUGGUUCAAUAGUGAAAGACGGUUUUGCUGUCACUUAUAGAUGGAUCCGCGCCGCAUUAGCUAGUUGGUAAGGUAACGGCUUACCAAGGCGACGAUGCGUAGCCGACCUGAGAGGGUGGUCGGCCACACUGGAACUGAGACACGGUCCAGACUCCUACGGGAGGCAGCAGUAGGGAAUCUUCCGCAAUGGGCGAAAGCCUGACGGAGCAACGCCGCGUGAGUGAUGAAGGUCUUCGGAUCGUAAAACUCUGUUAUUAGGGAAGAACAAAUGUGUAAGUAACUAUGCACGUCUUGACGGUACCUAAUCAGAAAGCCACGGCUAACUACGUG
rnacentral:rRNA from 1 species